UCACUAAACUAACAAUUACAUAUUCGUGCACUAAUAAUAAUAAUACUCGCUCCAUAUACACUGACAAUUAACAUAGAAGUAGUGAAGUAGUAGUACUCUUUCCCGUUUCCACAUAAAGCAUCAACUACAUAAAUAAAACAUUCAAGACAGAUUACACACCAAACGGACUUAGAAAAUUUAAACGACUAAUUUGCAAUCCACAUAAUUAUUUCAACCCACAUAUAUAUAUAUUUCUCCAGCUCCUCCACACACACACACACACACACACACACACACACACACACACACAUGGCCUUCAUGCAUGCACCCGGCUGGCUACGGCUUUCAGGUUCGCCCACCUUCUUUUCCAGUUUCCUGGGCCUUGUUCUGAAUUGUAUGGCCCACAUCCUUCGUUUUCUGGUCCGCAUAACCCACCAAAUCAUGGGCCUUCUUCUUUGCAUGUUCCAGCUGCUCCGGCAUAGUGUCAGCGGCCAUCCUCAAAUAAUUCAACACCCAUGACAGCGACGACAGUCCGCUGAUCCCGAAAGCGCCGGAGCUGAUGAAUCC
rnacentral:lncRNA from 1 species